AUGCUUGUUAAUUUCUUAUAAUUAGGAUAAAUAAAUACUGCAUCCACUAAGAUUUCACACACAGAAUAUAACACACUGAUCAGAUAAAACUAAUGGCACCCCAGGUGGUUCCCUUUAUCUAUGCAUGAUCAAUCUUCUCAUUGAGCAUUCUGGGAUAGACCAGAUUGUUCCAUGUGAUUAUUCAGGGGGAAUCUGGGUUUUUAUACAAUCCAAAACAGUCUAAAAUGACACUGCAACUGUGAUUCUCUUUCAAGAACUUAUUAUAAUUUUCAAGUUUUACUUUUAUUUAUCAUUUGAUAUAUUUGUACCUUCAAUAAAUGUAAAAAAAAAAUGAUGAUGGAUUUGAUAUUUUGGGAUCACCCCUGUUUCACAUUAUGAUUGCCCCUUCAGUUAUACUGUUGAAAAAUUUGAAUCUCAGACAUUAAUGGGUCAAGUGGUUAUAGUUGGAAAUAGUGCAAACCUGGAUUUAUUUUAAGCAAUUUUGGAGAUAUCUUGUUUUAUUAAUGUUAGGGAGCAUAUUUUGGAAUUUUCAAAGAAAACAUUUAUCUAAGUGUGACAAGAUUCAGGAAAUGUUUGGUUGUUGUAAUUGAACCUAAAGAUCAAUGACCUGGGACAGGAAGAUAAACAAAAGAAACAAGAUAGUUAAAAUGUUCAGAGUCAGCUUGUAAGCAAGUUUGCAGGACUGUUCCAAACUAUCCAGCUUUGCUGUGUUUUAUCAUAGUAUAAAGCAGAGGAAUAUACUGGAAUGUAGUUGGCAUUGGCACCUUCAAAGUCAGUAGUCACCAGGAAAGGCUUCAAGGAAUAUACUACAGAAUUGUAUCCUGGAGCAUUUUCCACAUGUGACCCCUGUGAUGGUGAGGGAAAAACUAAGGGACACUUUAAAAUCAUGGAGAGUGAACAGGAAUUCAAAAGAUAGAUAUUUGAAUACAUUAAAAUAUACCAAAAAAUACCAAAAAAUUAUAACUGAACAUUGAUUGUAAUAUUUACCAUUAAAGACUAUAACUAACUUAACUUUUCAUUUGUAGUGCAUUACUAUUUACUUCACACUGACAUUAAAUGUUUCAGUGAGUCAUGUGAUCAUUUUUUGCUCUGUAUUAUUAUAAAGAAGUUUCUUAAUUCCUUAAAAGGACAAUAUAAUUGCUCUUUUCAGAAUAUUUCAUUGGAUGUUAUAUUUUCUUAUUUUCCAUGGAUAUUCUAGAAAUUUCCAAGGUUUUUGCUCAAAUAAACCUUGGAAAAUUCUCUGAUGCCCUUAAGUAAGAAUCCUCGAAAAUAUAACAGUAUUCCCAGUUGUGAGAAACUUUCCGAGGUUUUCAUUUAAAAACCUUGGAAAACAAACCACGGAAACACUUUAAAAAUCCUUGGAAAUCGUUCCAAUACUCCGAGGUCACUCAUUUUCCAAGGUUUUCUAAGAAAAAUCCUCGGAAAUUAUUUUACGAGGUUUUUAUUCUGAAAUCCUUGGAAAUUGUUCCAAUACUCCGAGGUCAUACUUUUUACGAGGUUUUUUUUUAAUAAAAACUCGGAAAUUUUUUACAAGGUUUUUCACCCUCUCCCUAUUUUUCCAAGGUUUUUUUAAUAGCAAAGUUUUGCAUUUUCUUGUUCCAAUACUCCGAGGUUUUUUUCCAAGGAUUUUGAGCCAAAAACCUUGGAAAAUCUACA